rnacentral:tRNA from 1 species
GUGAGCGUAGCUCAGAUGGUUAGAGCUCUGGAUUGUGGUUCCAGAGGCCGGGGGUUCGAGUCCCCUCGCUCACCCCA